GACAGAGGUGCCAAGCGUUAGGCGGAAUCACUGGGCUUAAAGCGUGUGUAGGCGGGCCCGUAAGUGUCUUGUGAAAUCCCACGGCUCAACCGUGGAACUGCUGGGCAUACAGCGGGUCUUGGGCCAACUAGGGGCAGCCGGAACAAGCGGUGGAGCGGUGAAAUGCGUAGAUAUCGCUUGGAACGCCGAAGAUGAAAACAGGCUGCUGGGGUUGCGCCGACGCUGAGACACGAAAGCCAGGGGAGCAAACGGG
rnacentral:rRNA from 1 species